rnacentral:rRNA from 1 species
UAGGGAAUAUUGCGCAAUGGGGGAAACCCUGACGCAGCAACGCCGCGUGAGUGAGGAAGGUCUUCGGAUUGUAAAACUCUUUUAUUAGGGAAAAAUGGUUAGGGAGCUAAUACCCCCUGAUUUGAUGGUACCUAAAGAAUAAGCACCGGCUAACUUCGUGCCAGCAGCCGCGGUAAUACGAAGGGUGCAAGCGUUGUUCGGAUUUAUUGGGCGUAAAGCGCGCGCAGGCGGAUCAGCAAGUCAGAUGUGAAAUCUCAGGGCUCAACCCUGAAACUGCGUCUGAAACUGCUAGUCUAGAAUGUCGGAGGGGGCAGGGGAAUUUCACGUGUAGGGGUAAAAUCCGUAGAGAUGUGAAGGAACACCGGAGGCGAAGGCGCCUGCCUGGACGACUAUUGACGCUGAGGCGCGAAAGCGUGGGGAGCAAACAGG